rnacentral:rRNA from 1 species
UUCCCGCGGCGUUGCUGAUCCGCGAUUACUAGCGACUCCACCUUCACGCAGUCGAGUUGCAGACUGCGAUCCGAACUGAGACCGGUUUUCAGGGAUCCGCCCCACGUCACCGUGUCGCACCCCGUUGUACCGGCCAUUGUAGCAUGCGUGAAGCCCUGGACGUAAGGGGCAUGAUGAUCUGACGUCAUCCCCACCUUCCUCCGAGUUAACCCCGGCGGUCCCACGUGAGUUCCCGGCAUGACCCGCUGGCAACACGCGGCGAGGGUUGCGCUCGUUGCGGGACUUAACCCAACAUCUCACGACACGAGCUGACGACGACCAUGCACCACCUGUGAACCGGCCCCGAAGGGAACCCACGUCUCCGCAGGCGUCCGGCACAUGUCAAGCCCAGGUAAGGUUCUUCGCGUUGCAUCGAAUUAAUCCGCAUGCUCCGCCGCUUGUGCGGGCCCCCGUCAAUUUCUUUGAGUUUUAGCCUUGCGGCCGUACUCCCCAGGCGGGAUGCUUAACGCGUUAGCUCCGACACAGGACCCGGAAAAGGGCCCCACAUCCAGCAUCCACCGUUUACGGCGUGGACUACCAGGGUAUCUAAUCCUGUUCGCUCCCCACGCUUUCGCUCCUCAGCGUCAGUAACGGCCCAGAGA